GUCCCCAACUCCGAAUGAGGAAAGGCUUCGCCCAGACUCCUACGGGAGCCGGACUCCGCCCAUGACUUGAGUUGCAGGUAAACUUCGUCCGGACUCCUACGGGAGCCGGACUUCAUCCCUGACUCUAAUUGUAGGUAUACUUCGUCCGGACUCCUACGGGAGCCGGACUUCACCCCUGACUGUGAUUACAGGUAGACUUCGCCCGAGCUCCUACGGGAGCC
rnacentral:lncRNA from 1 species